rnacentral:lncRNA from 1 species
AAGUGGCAAAGGGCUUGAUGGUUGGUACCUGUCACGCCCCGCGACCGCCCGCCUAUUUGGCCGGAUUGCGGCGCCGCCGACAGAUCGCCGAACGGACAGGGUUUCCCCUGUACUGCGGACAGAGUCUCCCCUGUACGUUCAAGGCAUAGCAAUCAAUACAAUGUGCGAAGUUCCAACCAGGAACACAUUUCAAUCAAGAUUGCAUAAUGGAAGGUAUCAAACAACAUAACACAUCCUAUGUUAUUACAUGCAUUCACAUUCAUCCAUUUUUACAUCACAAAUCUCAUUAGAUUCCAACAUUAGCUUUCACUUAACUUCCAAAUACAAUCCAAUUUAACAAUAUUAUUACAACUUGAUUCUUUUCAUUCUUUACAUCCCUAAGUAAGGCCGACUCAGGGUACCGCUAUCUCUGGUCUCGGUGGUAGGGCGCUAACUAUGGAGCUACGCCCUCGCCUCGCGCCGCCGCGCCGCUCACGUGCGAACCUGUAACACCCCAAAACCACGUGGGGUGAGAACCAACUCCAUGGUUCCCAGUGGGUACGGCCACCCAAGGGAAAAGCUCGACCAAUAGGUCCAAGGGAGGCAACUGCAAGUUAGUUCAAUAAACAGAUAGAUAUAUAUCUUUAUUAUGCAACUAAUAAAACCAUGCUUUGCCUCACGAAUGCAAUAAUGCCAUGCUAUAUGCGAAUCAUGCAACUAUACAAGUAGAAUAAAUGAUUUUACUUUGUAUCAUGCUAUCCAUAGCUUUUUCAUAAUUUAUACAUCUUAUCACUUUACAUCAUUGGUUAUUUGCUCCUAAGGUUUUCCUCUACCCUAGCCAAGCUAACCACCCGACUCGGUCUCGAGUCAAUCAACUGCGGAAUACCGCACCAAAACUAGGCUCGAGGUGAUGGACGUCUCACAUACACCUCAGCCCUAAAUCCUCUCAACUGGGAUACCAAACCCGUAACACAUAAUGCUAUACAUUCACUUGGCUUUGACCCAAUCUUACCGGUUAACCAUGUUAACCCCAAUGACUCACAACCCAAAAUCCCUUAAUAACGGGGGACUCGAACCUCCCUAGGGACCGUCUUCUGGGGGGACUUUACCACGCCCAGUGGUGACCAACUCCGGAGCGCACCGCCCGAGGGGGAGCUACCUCCCUCAAGCCAAGACUUAUCGUGAGUGUCGAUCCAAUCCUCAACUUGAGGAUACAUAGCCACUAGUCACAAUGCCAAUGUCACAAUAGGUUUCUACCUAUUUAAUCAUGCCACUCUAUGUCAACUUGGUCCAAUGCCACUCUUGGUUAAACUAUAUUUAACACCUAUGUUCUUGAUGCCAAUAAUGUCUCUAUUGUCAAUGUC